GAUGAACGCUGGCGGCGUGCCUAAUACAUGCAAGUCGAGCGAACAGACGAGGAGCUUGCUCCUUCGACGUUAGCGGCGGACGGGUGAGUAACACGUAGGUAACCUACCUAUAAGACUGGGAUAACUUCGGGAAACCGGAGCUAAUACCGGAUAAUAUUUCGAACCGCAUGGUUCGAUAGUGAAAGACGGCUUUGCUAUCACUUAUAGAUGGAUCUGCGCCGUAUUAGCUAGUUGGUAAGGUAACGGCUUACCAAGGCAACGAUACGUAGCCGACCUGAGAGGGUGAUCGGCCACACUGGAACUGAGACACGGUCCAGACUCCUACGGGAGGCAGCAGUAGGGAAUCUUCCGCAAUGGGCGAAAGCCUGACGGAGCAACGCCGCGUGAGUGAUGAAGGUCUUCGGAUCGUAAAACUCUGUUAUUAGGGAAGAACAAAUGUGUAAGUAACUGUGCACGUCUUGACGGUACCUAAUCAGAAAGCCACGGCUAACUACGUG
rnacentral:rRNA from 1 species